rnacentral:rRNA from 1 species
GACGAACGCUGGCGGCGUGCUUAACACAUGCAAGUCGAAUGGCAAGGCCCUGCUUUUGUGGGGUUCUCGAGUGGCGAACGGGUGCGUAACACGUGAGUAACCUGCCCUUGACUUUGGGAUAACUUCAGGAAACUGGGGCUAAUACCGUAUAGGAGCUCCUGCUGCAUGGUGGGGGUUGGAACGUUUCGGCGGUUGGGGAUGGACUGGCGGCUUAGUAGCUAGUUGGUGGGGUAGAGGCCUACCCAGGCUUUGAUAGGUAGCCGGCCUGAGAGGGUGACCGGCCACCAUGGAACUGAGGCACGGUCCAGAGUCCUACGGGAGGCAGCAGGGGGGAAUAUGGGACAAUGGGCGCAUGCCUGGUCCAGCCAUACCGCGUGGGUGAAGAAGGCCUUCGGGUUGUAAAGCCCUUUUGUUGGGAAAGAAAAGCAGCAGGUUAAUACCCCGCUGUUCUGACGGUACCGAAAGAAUAAGCACCGGCUAACUUCGUG